UCUGUUUUAAUAAAUCUAUCUAGGUUUCGAUCUUAUUUUUAAUCGAUCUUAAUACCGUAUUUUUGGUUUAGAAAUCCCGAUCGAUUCAAAUUACUUUUUUUUAAAUCGGUUUUAAUUCGGCAUGUGUAGCGACUGUUGCGCGUCCCUAGCGGCCUCGAACAGAAUCUUCCAAGUCAUGUAUCGAUGCGAUUCAAAGAUCGGAACUGCUAUCGAAGAUAUCGAAAAAUCAAGCUGUAUAGACGUAAAACAAAAAUGAGGAAAAUUAAAAGGAAAUGCAAAUUUGAUGUAUGAAGUUACACCAAUAAAGAAAUUUUGUCAUGAUAUUCAA